CGCCGGCGGCGUGCUUCACACAUGCAAGUUGAACGGACCCAACCGACUGNAACCCUUCGGGGUGAAGCCGGGGACGGUUAGUGGCGGACGGGUGAGUAACGCGUGGGUAAUCUACCCUCAAAUCUGGAAUAACUUCGGGAAACCGGAACUAAUACCGGAUGAUCUUUAAGGGACGGGAGUUCUUUAAAGCAAAGGUGGCCUCUGGAACAAGCUGCCGUUUGGGGAUGAGCCCGCGUUCCAUUAGCUAGUUGGUAGGGUAACGGCCUACCAAGGCGACGAUGGAUAGCCGGCCUGAGAGGGUGUACGGCCACACUGGGACUGAGACACGGCCCAGACUCCUACGGGAGGCAGCAGUGGGGAAUAUUGCCCAAUGGGGGAAACCCUGAGGCAGCAACGCCGCGUGAGCGAUGAAGGCCUUCGGGUCGUAAAGCUCUGUCCUGGGAGAAGAAUCCCUUGGAGGUGAAUAACCUCUGAGCUUGACGGUAUCCCAGGAGGAAGCCCUGGCUAACUACGUGCCAGCAGCCGCGGUAAUACGUAGAGGGCGAGCGUUGUCCGGAAUUAUUGGGCGUAAAGCGCGCGUAGGCGGUUACGUAUGUCCAAUGUGAAAGGCGCCGGCUUAACCGGCGAAUUGCGUUGGAAACUGUGUAACUUGAGUGCAGGAGAGGAGAGCGGAAUCCCUAAUGUAGCGGGUGAAAUGCAUAGAUAUUAGGGAGAACACCGGUGGCGAANGCGGCUCUCUGGACUGCAACUGACGCUGAGGUGCGAAAGCGUGGGGGAGCGAACGGGAUU
rnacentral:rRNA from 1 species